rnacentral:rRNA from 1 species
GCCAUAUAAUUAAUAUAUGGUGUAGCCUGGUCAGUGAUUAUUUAUAAAUAAUAAUUAAACACACGCCUUAUCCUGAGGGUGAUAAUGUAGCAUAAUAAUUUGACGUUUAAUUGGCGUAUUGUAUGAAUGGUAUUACGAUUCUGUCAUUGUCUCAGUAUUAUAAUUAUAUAAAUUGAAGUAAUUAUUAAAAUGUAGUUUAUAUAAUAUAAGACGAAAAGACCCCAUAAACCUUUACUGAAAUAAGUUUAACUGGGACGGUUGUCUUUUAAAAUAACAAGGAUUAUAUAUAUUUUUCAAAUAAGAAUGUAUUGACCACUUUUAUUUAAAAAAAAGUUUAAAAAGAUAAUAGGUACUUUGGGGGUAACAGCGUAAUAUAUUAUUGAAGAUGAUAUUUGAUUGUAUGCUUGCGACCUCGAUGUUGAAUUAAAUUUACCAAAGGCGUAGAAGCUACUAAGGUCGGACUGUUCGUCCGUUAAAAA